rnacentral:rRNA from 1 species
AGUGAACGCUGGCGGUAGGCCUAACACAUGCAAGUCGAACGGCAGCACAGUAAGAGCUUGCUCUUACGGGUGGCGAGUGGCGGACGGGUGAGGAAUACAUCGGAAUCUACUUUUUCGUGGGGGAUAACGUAGGGAAACUUACGCUAAUACCGCAUACGACCUACGGGUGAAAGCAGGGGAUCUUCGGACCUUGCGCGAAUGAAUGAGCCGAUGUCGGAUUAGCUAGUUGGCGGGGUAAAGGCCCACCAAGGCGACGAUCCGUAGCUGGUCUGAGAGGAUGAUCAGCCACACUGUAACUGAGACACGGUCCAGACUCCUACGGGAGGCAGCAGUGGGGAAUAUUGGACAAUGGGCGCAAGCCUGAUCCAGCCAUACCGCGUGGGUGAAGAAGGCCUUCGGGUUGUAAAGCCCUUUUGUUGGGAAAGAAAAGCAGCAGGUUAAUACCCCGCUGUUCUGACGGUACCCAAAGAAUAAGCACCGGCUAACUUCGUG